rnacentral:rRNA from 1 species
AGACCCGAAACCCGGUGAUCUAGCCAUGGGCAGGUUGAAGGUUGGGUAACACUAACUGGAGGACCGAACCGACUAAUGUUGAAAAAUUAGCGGAUGACCUGUGGCUGGGGGUGAAAGGCCAAUCAAACCGGGAGAUAGCUGGUUCUCCCCGAAAGCUAUUUAGGUAGCGCCUCGUGAAUUCAUCUCCGGGGGUAGAGCACUGUUUCGGCUAGGGGGCCAUCCCGGCUUACCAACCCGAUGCAAACUGCGAAUACCGGAGAAUGUUAUCACGGGAGACACACGGCGGGUGCUAACGUCCGUCGUGAAGAGGGAAACAACCCAGACCGCCAGCUAAGGUCCCAAAGUCAUGGUUAAGUGGGAAACGAUGUGGGAAGGCCCAGACAGCCAGGAUGUUGGCUUAGAAGCAGCCAUCAUUUAAAGAAAGCGUAAUAGCUCACUGGUCGAGUCGGCCUGCGCGGAAGAUGUAACGGGGCUAAACCAUGCACCGAAGCUGCGGCAGCGAACGUAUCACUUAAAGCGAUUCAGCGGGUUACGAUUGACGGAGCGAAGCGACGUCAAAGCGUAUACAAAGUCGAGUCGGUUUAAGGAUACGUUCGUUGGGUAGGGGAGCGUUCUGUAAGCCUGUGAAGGUGGCCUGUGAGGGUUGCUGGAGGUAUCAGA